AUUGAACGCUGGCGGCAUGCUUUACACAUGCAAGUCGAACGGUAACAGGCCUUCGGGUGCUGACGAGUGGCGCACGGGUGAGUAAUGCAUCGGAACGUGCCCAGAGGUGGGGGAUAACGCAGCGAAAGCUGUGCUAAUACCGCAUGUGAUCUGAGGAUGAAGGCGGGGGACCCAGCAGCAAUGUUUGGCCUCGCGCCUCUGGAGCGGCCGAUGUCAGAUUAGGUAGUUGGUGGGGUAAAGGCCUACCAAGCCGACGAUCUGUAGCUGGUCUGAGAGGACGACCAGCCACACUGGGACUGAGACACGGCCCAGACUCCUACGGGAGGCAGCAGUGGGGAAUUUUGGACAAUGGGCGCAAGCCUGAUCCAGCAAUGCCGCGUGCGGGAAGAAGGCCUUCGGGUUGUAAACCGCUUUUGUACGGAACGAAAAGGCUCUGGCUAAUACCUGGGGCUGAUGACGGUACCGUAAGAAUAAGCACCGGCUAACUACGUG
rnacentral:rRNA from 1 species